ACUCCUACGGGAGGCAGCAGUUAGGAAUAUUCGGCAAUGGGGGAAACCCUGACCGAGCGACACUGCGUGAAGGAGGAAGGCCUUAGGGUUGUAAACUUCUGAACGAGAGACGAUAAUGACGGUAUCUCGGUAAUAGCACCGGCUAACUCCGUGCCAGCAGCCGCGGUAAUACGGAGGGUGCGAGCGUUAUCCGGAAUCACUGGGCGUAAAGGGCGCGUAGGCGGUUACAUAAGUCCGAUGUUAAAGCGUAGGGCUCAACCCUAUAAAAGGCGUUGGAUACUGUGAAACUAGACUUCUGGAGAGGUAAGUGGAAUUACCAGAGUAGCGGUGAAAUGCGUAGAUACUGGUAGGAACACCCAUAGCGAAGGCAGCUUACUGGACAGAGAGUGACGCUGAGGCGCGAAAAGUGU
rnacentral:rRNA from 1 species